rnacentral:rRNA from 1 species
GAUGAACGCUCGCUACAGGCUUAACACAUGCAAGUCGAGGGGAAACGACAUCGAAAGCUUGCUUUUGAUGGGCGUCGACCGGCGCACGGGUGAGUAACGCGUAUCCAACCUGCCCACCACUUGGGGAUAACCUUGCGAAAGUAAGACUAAUACCCAAUGAUAUCUCUAGAAGCCAUCUGAAAGAGAUUAAAGAUUUAUCGGUGAUGGAUGGGGAUGCGUCUGAUUAGCUUGUUGGCGGGGUAACGGCCCACCAAGGCAACGAUCAGUAGGGGUUCUGAGAGGAAGGUCCCCCACAUUGGAACUGAGACACGGUCCAAACUCAUAAGGGAGGCAGCAGUGAGGAAUAUUGGGCAAUGGAAGAGAGUCUGAACCAGCCAAGUAGCGUGCAGGAAGACGGCCCUAUGGGUAGUAAACUGCUUUUAGAAGGGAAUAAAGUAAGUCUCGUGAGACUUUUUGCAUGUACCUUAUGAAUAAGGACCGGCUAAUUCCGUG